ACGUUACCAAACUGUUGCCUCGGCGGGAUCUCUGCCCCGGGUGCGUCGAAGCCCCGGACCAAGGCGCCCGCCGGAGGACCAACCAAAACUCUUUUUGUAUACCCCCUCGCGGGUUUUUUAUAAUCUGAGCCUUCUCGGCGCCUCUCGUAGGCGUUUCGAAAAUGAAUCAAAACUUUCAACAACGGAUCUCUUGGUUCUGGCAUCGAUGAAGAACGCAGCGAAAUGCGAUAAGUAAUGUGAAUUGCAGAAUUCAGUGAAUCAUCGAAUCUUUGAACGCACAUUGCGCCCGCCAGUAUUCUGGCGGGCAUGCCUGUCCGAGCGUCAUUUCAACCCUCGAACCCCUCCGGGGGGUCGGCGUUGGGGAUCGGCCCUGCCUCUUGGCGGUGGCCGUCUCCGAAAUACAGUGGCGGUCUCGCCGCAGCCUCUCCUGCGCAGUAGUUUGCACACUCGCAUCGGGAGCGCGGCGCGUCCACAGCCGUUAAACACCCAACUUCUGAAAUGUUGACCUCGGAUCAGGUAGGAAUACCCGCUGAACUUAAGCAUAUCAAUA
rnacentral:rRNA from 1 species